AUGGACGUGCUUUGCAGUGACAAAACAGGAACAUUGACACUCAACAAACUGACUGUAGACAACAAUAUAAUUGAGGUUUUUACUAGAGGUUACGAAAAGAGUGAUGUCGUGUUGAUGGCCGCAAGGGCCUCAAGACUGGAGAAUCAGGAUGCUAUUGAUUGCGCUAUUGUUGCCAUGCUUCCAGACCCAAAAGAGGUAAAAGUCUCUCCUCCCUGA
rnacentral:rRNA from 1 species